UUGGAGUCUAGUGUAGUUCCUUAGUGGGUCAUGCUCUGGUAGAUGUAACAUCGGGAUGGGAUGUUUUACUACGUUUUUAUUUGGUUGUUGAACAACUUUACAUGUAAUGUAUUACAUAGUUUGAAUGUUGUUGUUAAUUUCUAUCCGCUGCGUAUUAUGCAAAUGUUUUAUUUUGAUUAAAUAAAUGAGCAUGACAGGAUAUUUUGGAACAUGGUGU
rnacentral:lncRNA from 1 species